AAGACUUUAUCUUAAUAAAAGAAUUUGAGUUGCAUUCAUAGGAUGUGGGUUAGUGUCCCGCAAGUCUUA
rnacentral:tRNA from 1 species